CCGUUCGACCCCGUCGGACCUCCCCGGCGUCCCCCUCGCCCUCCGCCGGCCUCCCCUCGCCGCCCUAGCCACCGGAUUAACUCCGGCAAGCCUUGAACCGCAACCCAUGAAAUGGGUUUCCAGCUGGUUCGGGCCCGCUUUUGGGCCGUUUCCGGGCCCCGAACCCGAGCCGUGCUUUGGGAAGUUUUGUUCCUCGCGUCGCCCCCGUCGGAUUGAUCUGAUUUGCG
rnacentral:lncRNA from 1 species